CUUUGGGCAGUAUUUGCUCUCUGUUUCGCUAGACAUCAAAAAGCUUAACAAUUUAAUUUAUACUGGUUUGUGCUUAUUCUGUAGAGCUCUCAGGAAUUGGUGCUUACUGUGAAACGGCAUUCAGAGGUUUCGAGAGGCGUUUGGAGCAGUUGUAUGUGCGUGGCUGUAAUGAUAGACGUUUGACAUUGCUUUUUUAAAGCGAUGAGAAUUAAAGUAGCUGGCUUGGCUCGCCACUAUUUAUCCAUAUUGUUUAACGUUUGUUAUGUGUUGUUACACCAGUUGCAGGUGUAUUGAUUAAUAUAAACAAGUCUUACCGGUGGAUCACUUGGUUCGUAGAUCGAUGAAAAACGGGGCUAGAACCGUUAUGUAGCGUGAAUUGCAGACAUAUUGAGCGCUAAAAUUUUGAACGCAAAUGGCACUAACAGGUUUAUAUCUGUUAGUACACUUAAUUGAGGGUUGAUUAACUUGUUACUUGCAGUCAGCUGUGACUGUUUUUUCGAAUAGCUAAGUGCUUUUUGCAUUUACCUAUUUGGCAUGAUUGCUACGAUAGUACAAUGAACUUUUCUGUUCUUAAGUUUCUUGACGAAUUGUUCGCUAUCUUAUCGACUCUUUGCAAAGUAUUAGUUUUUGUUUGGCGUGUUUCUUGCCGACUGACUUAUACACUUUCCGUGUAUGUAGACUGUUUUGUCAUGUCAGUUAAAAACUUUUACUAAAUUCAACGCGUUUGUUGAUUAGUGUUGCUUUUUGCUAAGAUGUUUUUGUUAUCGAUUUUUGCUAUUACAACCUCAAUUUUAAGUGAGAUUUACCCGCUGAAACUUAAGCAUUAUCAGUAAGCGGAGGAAAAGAAAACUUAAAA
rnacentral:rRNA from 1 species